GAUGAAGAACGUAGCGAAAUGCGAUAAGUAAUGUGAAUUGCAGAAUUCAGUGAAUCAUCGAAUCUUUGAACGCAUCUUGCGCUCCUUGGUAUUCUGAGGAGCAUGCCUGUUUGAGUGUCAUUAAAUUCUCAACUACACUAACUUUGAAUUGGUGUGGCUUGGAUUUGGGGGGAAAAUUGUUGUGGGCUUUUUGUAUAGUCUGCUCCCCUGAAAUUGAUUAGCGGUACCUUUGUGGAACUGUCUACAGGUGUGAUAAUUAUCUACAUCUUAGACAUCUGCUGGAAUGCUGCUUUCUAAACCUUACUUGUAUUGACAAUCUUGACCUCAAAUCAGGUAGGACUACCCGCUGAACUUAAGCAUAUCAAUAAGCGGAGGA
rnacentral:misc_RNA from 1 species